UACGUUCUGUUUUAGAAAAGAAGAGCGAAUCGGGUUCACGAGGAGGAUUCUUUGACGGUGGACCAACAUCCACCCCAUACAGAUGGUCUCCCCCGUAAAUAGUGGCUCUACCAUCGCGUUCCAACCGAGAUAUCGAUCCAAGUUCCUAUCUCACCCUCGAUCGAAUUGCGUUCCAAAAAUUUCUUUCAUACCAUUCCGUCUUCUAAUCACUAUCCUUCAGAAUUAUUAACAUAAUAUAGCCGUAAUCUAACUUCCUUCGCGACAAGUGGGCACGUCGUACAAUUUCAUUUGCUCUUUUAGAGAUCGAUAGUAGAUCGACUAGCUUUUCUAUUCGGUUCGUGGCAUAUUACUGUUUGUUUAUUUUAAGUCCCAGGCGUAUCUUGUUUCGGAACCAGACCCAACUGACCGCAGCCUGGCAUCGUUUUCUCGUUUUAUUCUCUUGCGUUACACGUCGACCUGGUAUCGGUGGCGUGAAUUAAGCGAGAAAAAUCGACACCGUGAGGCGGAUGCGCGCAGUUUCCAGAACGAUCGGCCCGAUUUUUUGGAAUUAACCAAACGAUCAAGAUGCCCAAAUUGUCUGGUCCAUCGGAGCUAUCUGUUUCUGUAUGAAUCCAACUUUUAAGAAAUUUAUGGACAAAAUCUUGGAAGUUUCGUGCUUUCUCUAAACUAAUAUUUUAAGCUGCAGUUGCGAAAACCGUUUUGUGUACUAAAGAAAGGAAGGUAUUUGGUAUUUGGUAGCUUUGACUGAAAAGGACCACUUUUUUUUAAAGUAAGAAUGGAAGGAUUCCUAUGGAUAUAGCAACAGGAACGUGACGAUAAUAGAAUUUUAGAUGCGUCUCGAUGCCUCACGUUGCUAGCCUCGCAUCGAAAUCCCCGAGCCACCCUCAACGCGAAAAAACGGUACAGUUGCAUGCUCAGAUUAUAGUAUGCCCUCCUAUAGAAAUAUGUGACAGAGUACUUGACGUAAAAAGAAUUAAACACUUUUCGUAACAUAAAUUAAAGUUGAAUGAAAGAAAGAGAGAUUCAUUUGGAAGAAGUAUGUAAUUGCAAUUCUACCUACACACAACUUCAUUUUUAAACGGUUCUAUAAUUUGGAAAUUUUGUUUACAUGAAAAAAAGGUAAGAAGUUUUCACGAAAAGAAAUACAAAGGAAUUGCCAAAAAGUCACUUUUUCAUUAUCAUUGACCAAACGGAUCAAUGAUACGGUCAGAAAAUCUCCAUAGCACAGAUCAUAUAACAAUGCACAAAUUUUAACAACUCUGAAAUUCUUUUACCUGUCAUUAAAGCUGAUCAUAUCCUACAGGAUGCUCUUACUCUCAGACGCCGUAGAAGAGAAGUGGAAGACAACUCAUCGGUCCUCUAUCAUAGCCAGUCACCACUGUAAACACCAGCACAUGCACUGAGGAGGUAUAUACAGUCCUCCGAAUAUUGAUAUCAGUCCUCAAAAUCGAAUGACGAACGCGGGAUCACCGGCGAUCGCGCACUGGAUGUAGCUUGUACGUGUCGACGCCGAUGCAUUCGACGAAAACCAUCACUAAAACCCCCGUGACGUGUGGAACUGCUAUAGAUCCUGGAAAUGAUCGAAAGGAGAAGCAACGGGCGUAAAAUUGACAAAUGGAAAUAAACAUGGGAAACGAGGAAGACACGCGAGAACGUCGACGAGGAGAGCCACGAAGGUUCACAACGAGCAUGGGACUCUGGACACGACUGAUCGAGUGACCGAGGGGGUAGCAUUGUAAGAAUACCCCUCCUCGUGUGCUUGUAUAGAAUUACGUGUGUUGAUCGCACAUACAGCCUGAUACAGCUCUCUCCGUCCCCUUGGUUCGCGGCAAAAGGGAGCACGAAGGGAGAAGAGUGGCUCUCCGUUCUCCCUUCCCCUCCGUUGCCUCUCCUACAGCCUUUCACCGUGUGUAUACCCACCCCUGCGUACCCCUGUCCCCCGGCCCCCUUCGAGGCGUCCUCUCUCGCGUGCGUGAAUCAUGCAUAUCGAUUUUCUUUCGUUAGUACGUCGUUCGGUAGUCGUUGCCCGGCUGUGUACGCCUCUGACGAUGCGUUUCCCCUCUUCUUUCGCGCGGAGAGAGCCCGGGGGCCGACCGCUGCUCUGGAACCCCUUCUGAAAAUGCGCUAGACGCACCACCGCUAAUUCUUUUCGCCACAAUGGAUAGAGGAGGUUCGUUUUCAGCGGCCUGGUGGCUGAACCCAUGAUCUGGAUUGGAUUGGAGGUUCCGGGUUCGGGAGGUUGGGGAGGAUGGGGUUCUUAAGAGGAUAAGAGGUCCCUCCAACCCUCUACUAGAGUAAUCUGCAUCAAAAACGUUUAAGACGAUCGUCAAUAGGAGAACUAUUAAGAGAAAUUCAAGGAAGGAAGUUGAUGAUGAGGAGGCUGAUGAACGAAGAGAAAUUUGUAAGGACUAAAAUGGCCCGGUCUGGUCCGGCCCCCACCCCUUCUUCGGAAGCUGAAAGCCCUCAGAGAGACCCCCUCUUUCCGCUCGGGCAAAAUGUCCCCGUAUGAGACGAACAACGAUGUGAACGAUGAGACGAUGCUCUUGUACCCGGCCCCCUCUUUUUUUUCCUAAUAUACGUCCCCUAGUCUCGCAGCAGCAGGCCUUCGAUAAUAAAGUUUCUUUGUUUUUGCUCA